rnacentral:lncRNA from 1 species
GAAUCUCUCGUGUCAUCACUUAUUAGGUCAUGGUGCUUGGUUGAUCGAUUUUUGAGAAUCACACAUUUUGUUGAACGUAGUAGACCCUUGAUCCUUUAUAUGUUGCUGAACUUUAUAUUAGUGAAAUUGUGCCCCCACAUGGUAUUCCAAAGACAACUCCUUACGUUGUGUAGUGAAUGCAUCUUUUAAGUUUUGGAUCUUACACCAUUAUCCAGAACUAAUAUGGAGAAAAAGCUAAGACAAUCAAUAAGUUACAUGAGGAAGUGAGGAAGAGAAGUCCGAAGCAAAAUGUCAAAUAUCCCAAUCAAGCCAAAAAUAAAAUAAAAUAGAAAAGCCUGUUUUUAAAGAAGGUGAUCUUGUCUGGAUUCAUAUGAGAAGAGCGCUUUCCACCUAGUCGUGGUGCUACAGACGGCUCUUUUCUAGUUUUGGAACACAUCGAUAAUAAUACCUGCAAAAGUGAGCUUUGUGGAGGGAAUGGUGUUUCCACUAGUUUCAAUGUUGCUAAUCUAUCACUAUGAAGUUGGCCUCGAGGAGGAGUCUUUUCAAGAUUUCAAGAUUCUCUCUGUGAAUAGAAUAAUAGGGAUAAAAUAUAUUUCUUGUUCAGUGAGGCAGUUUUAUACUUUUAGGAUUGUNNNNNNNNNNNNNNNNNNNNNNNNNNNNNNNNNNNNNNNNNNNNNNNNNNNNNNNNNNNNNNNNNNNNNNNNNNNNNNNNNNNNNNNNNNNNNNNNNNNNAGCAUGAUUUCUAUAUAUCUCUUUUCAUUAUCGGCUGCAUUCUAUCGUAGAAACAAUAAUGGGAGGUUCAAUCAACUGUACUUAGCGUGCAUUCGCUUCAACGAUAAAGCAAAUGAGCGCAGAAAUCUCAUUCUAUUUUCAUAUACAAUUUUGAAAAGAAUCUAGUAAGCUCAUCUCUUAUGUAAAAUAUAUAAUCUUUGAUAGCAUUUUCAGUAUCUAUCAUUUCAAAGGCAUACAAAUUGAAUCCUCAGUUCAUGUUUAUUAAAAUACUAAGCAUGUUCAUCAUUCAAUUGUUAAAUUAUAUCACCAAUAAGUUCUUGUUCCAAUUUUUGGUAUUAAAGUUACAAACCGUAUAAGUCCAUUCUUCUUAUGAUUUCAGUACUUCUAACAUUUGAAAAUGAGAUUGAACUUUUUUAGUGAGUAUCUUCUGUUUGAGUCGACAUUAAAAUUCACAUAGGAAAGUGCUUAAUACUCCCCUAAAACAGGAAGAAUCUACUUAUGUUGGUUCAUGCAGUAGAUCGACAUCUUGUUUUUAAUGCUUUAAUCAUAUAUAAAAAAUUUAAUAGAUGCAGAUGAUUCUUGAGCACAAUUAACGAGCAUCAUCAGAGUUAGUAAUUAUUGUAUUCAAAGUUUUCAAUAAGACAUACAUAAAUAUAAUCAUAAUCAUAUGCAUACAGACAUAGAUAUGUAAGAGAUAAGGACAAUUCAUUUGAAUGCGCACCUUGAAUUGGUCCACCACGACUUGAAUGUUGCUUUUGCACAGAUCAAGUCUGACUAACUUCUUUGGGCCAGGGGGAAAUUUGAGAACCGAAAAAGGACAUUCAGGCCAUUGAAACCAUCUCAGGUUGUUAGGAAGAUAGAUGGGACCUUGGAAAGAGUUAUGCACAUUAAUCAUGAUGAGCAACCUCAAUCUUCUCAUGUUUGUGAAAGCAUCGGGACCUAUGGAUAUUGCUUCUAUUGUGGGUAAACCCAAAACUAUGGCUUUUACUGCAUCUGUUCCCUACAUUUAUAGAACUUGCAUUGCAAUUAGCAUACGAAGUCAGAGAAGAAGAGAGUAAAAUCAGUGUUUAAACCACCAAAACUUACCAUAUCCCCUGAUAGAACAUCACAGACAUCUUCACAAAGCCAUAACCUGCUGCGUCUCCCAGGAUCAUCGCGACAUUCUUGUUUAACAAUAUCCAUGCCCAUCAACUGAAUCAAGUCAUGCAUCUGUAUCGUCCCCCUUCCUUCAGUUAUUAAGGACUUCUCAACAAGAACUCGCACUCCAAUAGUCGUGUCAAAGUCGCAACUGUUAAGGACUUCCAUAAUGUGCUCUAUAGAUCGCCCCUUGAAGAAACAUGCGAUAUCAAGGAAUAUCUCCUUUGCAUAGUCCUCUAGUCCAUCGUAACUUAACUUGAGAACAUCAUUGAUGGUUUUGUCAGGACUUUUAGCAAGUUUUUUCAAUGCGCUUUCCCAUUCUUUUUCUUUUCUUCCACAUAGGAAACAACCCAAUACCUCAAGUGCUAAAGGAAGACCAUUAGCAUAAUGCAAAGCACUAUCCACAAGAUCCCUCCUUAUCACUAUUUCCUUACUUCCAGGAAAAGCAUGUUUAUCGAAAAGUUCAAGAGCUUCUAAAUCAUCUAGAGUUUUAACUUGAUAGAUAUGAUAUUUACCCAUCCCAUGGACAGUUAAUAGAUGGUUAUCUCUCGUAGUAAUGAUGAUUUUGCUUCCUUUACCAAACCAUUCACGCCCUCCAGCUAAAGCAUCUAAUUGUUUUACGUCAUUGACAUCGUCGAGAACAAGGAGGACUCUUUUGCGGCAAAGUCUUUGUUGUAUCAAAUUAAUACCUCCAUCAACACUAGACACUGUUAAAUCUUUUCUCACUAACUCGGACAACAAUUUUUCUUGCAGAUGAACUAAAUCCUUGGAAUCUUUUGAAGUUUCACGAACGUUUGCCAAAAAACAUGGAGCCUCAAAUCCUCUGAAUAUAUCAUUGUAAAGGGCUUUGGCUAAUGUUGUUUUUCCUAUGCCUCCUUGUCCCCAUAAUCCUAUCAUGAGAACAUCAUCACGAGACUCAAGAUUUAACAUUGAUUUCAGCUUUACCACUUGUCGAGGUAUUCCAACCGGAUGCUUGGCAAUGUGUAACGGUGUUCGGUCUAGCUGCAUAGAGAUCUGCUGCACAAUUCUCUUGAUAAGAUCCGCUUCUGCUUCAUCUCUGACAAAAUCCGGAAAGGUACUUGAUACAUCAAUUUCCAAAGAUAAUUAACUUUCAUGGAAAGAAACAGAAGAGAUUCAGCGUAUAAAAAAGAAAUAACAAAGCAGUGUCACAUCAAUCACUACUUUGGUACUUACUUAUCCUUCAAAUCCCACCCGGACAAGCUACCCGCAUCAAAGAGAGCGUUUUUCCAUCUCUUCACUUCGUCCGAAUCUCUCCCAAACUUUCUCUCAUGCUCAACCAUAGCUUUUUCGUAGCUCUCUCUUGGUGUUCUCACUUCUCCGGGAUCCACUUUGUAAAACACCGGAAAUACCGUGAGGUCUCUUUGCUUCUUGCACUCCAUGAUUUUCGCCACCUCUUCCAAGCACCACCGCGAGGAAGCAUAGUUCUCGGAGAAAAUGAUGAUUGCGAUACGCGAGUCCUCAAUUGCCUUCAUAAGCACCGGCUUUAUACAGUCGCCUUUCUGAAGCUCCUCGCUAUCAACGUAAGUGUAGAAUCCUUUUUGAUCAAGAGCAGCAUAGAGAUGACUGAGGAAGCUCUUUCGGAUGUCCGUACCUCUGAAACUCAGGAAGACAUCAUAAUUCCCUUUCAGAUCUGAAGAAGCAGCCAUUAGAGGAGAUGAAGUUUGAUGUGCUUCCUCAGAAUGCUCAGUGUCUGGUCGGGUUGCAGCUCCAUCUCUCAUAUGGAUAUCACUUUGUACGAAUAAAGAAAUAGAAACAAAAACCAGAUCAUUUCUGAUGCUCCGAUUCGCUAAGCAUAUACUCCACCAACGAAUUUAAUAGAAAGCAACAUUUUGCAUAAGGUGCACAUAACCAUUCUAUAUAAGUGCUUCUUGACUUGACUUGCCUUUUCCAUUAAUAAAAGAAAUAGAAAAGAAAACUAGCAACACUCCCGUGCUCCUGGUGCUAAUAUACAUGAGUCAAUCGCAAAACACCGCCUAUUGGAAUAUUAUUUAUAUUGAAAAAUCUGCCUUUUUUUUCUUUCCAAAGGGGUUUCUACAAAAGCAAAUCCCAAAAUAAAUUUCCCUCACUUUUCAAACUAAAUUUUUCCAUACCAUAUCUUGCAUCAAACGGAAGAAAUUUCAAUCUGUUCAGGCAUUUCUUCAAACACGUAGUGGGCAGCGAGUUGGAGAGCGAAUAUGGACCUAUUCGGAGCUCGAGCUGAAACCUAAACUCGAGAAAUCAGCGAGCAACGUUCAAACUUAAGAAAAACCGACUCAUUCAGGUCCGACGCGAGUGAGUACUAAAGAAAUCGAGCUUGCUUUGGUCUUUUAAAAUCAAGCAGGACGAGGCAAAAAAAGAAGAAGGAACGAGCAUUCAAUCAUGGGGCCCCUACCUGGCUUGGAUUCAGUGGCCAUCGUCGGCGGCGAAGGUUGAGAAUAGCGACUCCAAACUCGUGUCAGGCUUCAGUCGACUCCACCGAGGUCAGGGACCGCGACGACGAAUGGCAGCAGGCGGACGAUGCUCUGGAGGUGGCGGACGGCGUAGAUCGGCUGUGGCUCCGAGGUUUUGUGUGGGGCUUCAAUGGCGACCGUUCCCGGAGUAGAGAAAGACCAAGAUGCUUCUGUUUUUUUUUUUUUUUUUCCUUUUUCGUGAGAGUAAAGAAGUAGGUGACGGUGAAGGAGCGAGGUAGGAUUCCGGGAAUGAAAUGCGAGAGCAGUCGCCGUCAAGAGGUAGUCGGACGGAGAUGGUGGAGGUGGCUGUGUCAGGUGAGUUCAGGAGAAAGGGUGGGGAAUGCUUUUUUUUUCUUUUCCAGAAAAAUGCUGCCUGAAGAUGGUGGUGUCUCCCCUUCCGCCCUUUUCGUAAGAGAGAGCGCGAGAGAUCCCUAGAAAGAACUUCCCUUUCAGAUUCGAUAAAGCGGCUACUAGAGGAGAUGAAUGUCGAUAUGCUUCCGCAGCAUUUGUACUCAAUGGANNNNNNNNNNNNNNNNNNNNNNNNNNNNNNNNNNNNNNNNNNNNNNNNNNNNNNNNNNNNNNNNNNNNNNNNNNNNNNNNNNNNNNNNNNNNNNNNNNNNGGUCCAUGCACGCGGUAUCCUCUAUCUGGGUACGGGCUAUUACUGUCUAGUUGGGUUGCAGCUUUAUCUCUCCUGUUUCUAUCACUUUAUUCUUUUUGACCAGGACUUUCUCGAAUCACGCGGCAGUGAUGAUCAAAGAAAACCAUAGAAAAGAAAGUAAGGGUGAAUUAUUGCACGCGUAAUUUUCAUAGAAUUUACGCGUCCUUUCUUUCUUUCCCUCUGUUGACUUGACUUGCUUUUUCUACUAAUAAAGAAAUAGAAACCAAAACCAACGAAUCAUUUCUGAUGCUCCCGGUCGGCAAGCAUAUUGUCCACCAACAAAUUUAAUAAAAAGCAACAUUUUGCAGAAGGGGCAAGGAACUUCUCGACUUGACUUGCCUUUUCCAUAAACUAAAGAAAUAGAAAAGAAAGCUAGCUAUGCUCCCAUGCCCUUAGUGCUAAUAUACAUGAGUCAAUCGCAAAAACAUUGCUUGUUGGAAUAUUAUUUAUAAUAAACAAUUUGACUUUUUUUCUUUUAGAAAGGAUUCUAGACAAGCUUUACCAAAAAAUUUUUAAAUUUUACCAAAAAAAAAAAAUUCCAGACAAGCAAAUCUCAAAAUAAAAUUUCCUCACUUUUCAUACUAAAUUUUUCCAUACCAGAUCUUGCCUAAAGAUAAUUGACAUCACCUCCUCAGCCUAGUCACUUUGAUCUUACUCCUUGAUUUUUUUUUUGACAUUUUACAAUUUAUUUUAUACUUUUAAUGUCACAUUUAGGAUUUCUUAGCUAAUAGGUUAGGAAAAUGCUUGCGUGACCAUCCACUGCAGAAUGACAGUAGUACUGUCAAAGGCCAGCCACAUAUCCUUUUGGAGGAAACCAGUGGACUUCUUGACCGGUUUAAUCAUUGACUCUGUUAAAAUAUGUCUCGAGUUUAAGCCUAAUGCAAAAUUACGAAUAUUCCGAAUUGGAUAUGUUGUGGAUGUUCGAAAUCGAGCAAAGAAGAUCCGAAGAUCAACUUCCCGAAUUUGAAUCUGUGUUGGAGAGUUUGGCUGUUAAAAUAGGAAAGUCCAACUUUGACUAGGACUUGGAUUUUUGUUUAAAAUAUACAAAGAUAUGUUUUGGAUAGGAAACAAAAUCCUAUGAGAAGUUGACAAAAGAAUAAGGGUUUUACUUAUAAAUAGACUUAAGGCCGUGGGUGAUAGGUGUGGAUCACGAAUUGUUUUGAAGCGCCGCGUGAGUGCUUGGUGUUCCGCCGUUGAUCUUGAAGCGCCGUCUCGUUGUCGAGUGCUUGGGAGGGAUUUUCUUUGUCGUGAAUUACAUCCAAGAAGGUUUAGUGUUAAAGCCAAUUAAAUCUUGUGGUAAGAUUUGCAUGUAAUUCCUUCGUGAGAUUGAGAGAUUAUUUCUUGAGGAAUUUUGGGGCUAAACACUAUGUGUGUUAUUGGGUGUAAUUGGGGCUUGGGAAACACCGAGAGAGUGUUUGAGUGACUCGAGUGUGUAAUCUCCUUGUAUCGCUUGAUCUAUAGUGAAAUUCGCUGCUGCUCUCCCCGUGGACGUAGGUCUUUACGACUGAACCACGUAAAUCUGGUGUCCAAUUUAUUUUCUUUUUCUGUCUAUAUUAUUGUUCGAUCGCUAGCCCCAUCGCAACAGACUCCAUGUUUUGUUCUUCUUCAUUUUUUUGACUUCUUUAUUCCUUACAGCAACCUCAAAUUUCAGAGACAAAAUCAGAAGGCCACAUUGAAUCAUUUUUCUUGAAGAUUAUGACUUUCAUUUGUUUCUUUAAAUAAGACAAGAAAAUCAUUCUCUUCUUAUGGCUUUUUUAUAUGGCGAAUGCAUUUUUUUUUCUCUACUAAUUGUUUUUGGGAUUCUCUACUAAAUCAUUAUUCUUAUUUUGAUCUUUUCUUUACUUCAUUUUUUUUAUGCAUAAUCAAUAUCAAUUGUAUAAAUUUUAGAUUGUCGUAGAGUCCUUCAAAAGCAAUUUGGUUUGAGCGAAAGGAAUGAUGAGCUAUUUCAUUGCACAAUGAUUUUAUUAUUAGUUGCGAAGUUAAUGUUUUAAUUUUUUUUAUUUUAUAAAAAAUGUAAUAGAUUUUUGUAAUGACAUUAAUUAUUAUUUUAGUAAGCUAUAAUUUUUUACUUGUAAUUAUUUAUAUUUCGCUAUUUAUUUUAUUUUUUCUUUCUUCAUAUUCAAGAAAAUUGACUUCGUGGGUCUUUUUCUGAUUUUGUCUCUAAAUUUGAGCUUGUUGUCGGUAUUUAAUUAUUAGAAGUCAAAAAAAAGAAAAAAAAAAUCAAAAGAGGAAGUACAGGGUCACAGAUUAAAAACCGGUUACCGGUUUCUUCCAAAGGAUUUGCGGCUAGCCGUUGACCGUUCCACCGUUAUUCUGAAGUGGACGGUCAUGCUGGCCACUCCCAAGCAGCCAUAAGAGGAGAUGAAGGUUGAUGGGCUUCCGCAGAAUGCUUGCCGUUUGAUCGGAUUGCAGCUUUAUCUCUCCUAUAUAUAUCAUGUAUAUGUCACUUUGUUCUUUUGACCAUGACCUUCUCAAAUCACGCGGCAGUGAUAAUCAAAGAAAACCAUCGAAAAGAGAAGUAAAGGUGAAUUAUUGCACACGAAAUUUCCGCGCAGGGUGCAUAAAAAUCUUCGCGGGCCCUUUCGUUCUUUUCCUUUGUUGACUUGACUUUGCUUUUUCCACUAACGGAGAAACAGAAACGAAAACCAACCAUCAUUUCUAAUGCUCUGAGUCGAUUAGCAUAUUUUCUACCAAUUAAUUUAAUAAAAAGCAGAUAGUGAUGGAAAAGAAUAUCAAAGGACAAUCAAUGCAGGUGUCACUUACACGGCAUUUUGCAGAAAGUACGCGGAAGCAUCCUAAGGCUGCGUUUGGUUCAGCAUUUGUAAUGGGCUUUGAGUCCAAUGCAAAUGUUGAAAGGCCAAAGCUAUUUGGGGAAAAUGUUGUGUUUGGUAAAAAAAUUUUGCAAAUAGACUUUGAUUUGAAUGUGCAUUUGGUAAAAAAAACUUUUGGAAAGGGCUUUAUGGGUAUUAUAUUUUCUUUUCUUUUUUUUUUUUUGGAAAAAUCAGCUAAACCCUUCGCCGGACCGGCGAAGGGCUGUGGCCGCCGGCGAGCCAGAUCUGGCGCCGGUGGCCGUCGGCUGAGGUCGCCCGAGGUCGGGGGACCUCCGGCGGCCCUCGGCCGGGUCGCGCGACCCUCACCGAAGGUCGCCCGACCUCCAGCCGACGGCCGCCGACGCCAGAUCCCUUCGCCGGUUCGGCGAAGGGCUGCUCUUUUUCAUUUAAAAAAUAAAUAAAUGCAGGGGCAAUGGUGGGUUUUCAAAAAACUUUUGGGGGUAAAAUAGGAAAUAAUAUUUUCAUUAAAUGGACCUUCAGCAUUCCCAAGGGGAAACUUUCACUUGAAAGCCCCUUGGAAAUGGUUGCCAAACACCCAUUUUUUGGGUGAAAGGGCUUUGGGGCUUGGAUGGGCUUUCUAAAUGCCCAUCCAAACACACCCUAAGUGAUGCUUUUUGACUUGAUUUCACUUGCCUUUAACAUUAAUAAAAGAAAUAAAAAAAGAAAACUAGCAAUACUCCCCAAAGGUAUGUAACUGGAAUCGCGCGAAUCAGGAUCCGACCGAAGCGAUCAAUGCUGGACAGUCUUAAAGGGUGCCGAUCUGGUCCCCAAUUCCUAUUUUUGGAAUUGGUGGCAGGUUGAUUUGAUUCCCAUUUUCAAGGUAGGAAUUAAAUCGAUAAGAUUGGACCAACCAUUCACGUAUUAUAUUAAUUUUUUUAAAAUUUCUGAAUGACCAUCCUGCCAUUAGGCUAAUUACUUUCCCAACUCUUUCCCAUCAUACCGUCACUUUCCCGUGUCUUUCCCUUCCGCCAUUACUUUCCCCAUUUCUUUCUCUUCCACUUCUCUUUUGCUAACCCUAACCGUGUGAAAUCAGCCCUUCCCAAUUUCCCUCUUGCAGGCACAGCCUCACCUCACGCCUUGGUCCAAGUGAGUUGCUCGACUCUCGCAGCCUUACCUCCCACUCGCUCGACAUCCUCUCGUGGCGUCACCUCAAGCCUCCUUUCCCUCUUGUGGCCUCGCCUUCCGCCUCGCUCGACGUCCUCUCACGACGUCACCUCACGCUUUGCUUGUUGAGCUUUCCCUCUCACCUCAUAGCUUGAUUGUCAAUGUAAUGACAACAAGUGAUUUGGUCCACUGAAAUCGGUCCGGUCCGAUUCUCAAUUCCCGAACUCAUUAGUCCUGUCUAAUAUCCCAAAAAAUGGGAACUAGUCCUCUCGAUCUAAUUCUCAAUUUUUGGAUGGGACCAGAUUGAACCAAGAACCGAUCACCCCUAAUACUCCCAUGCUCCUGGUGCUAAUAUACAUGAGUCAAUCGCAAAAAAUCACCCAUUGGAUUAUUUUUUAUAAUGAACAAUAUGACUUUUUAUGUUUCAUAAGGGAUCCUAGACAAGCAAAUCCCAAAACAAAAUUUCCUCAUUUUUCAAAUUAAAUUUUUCCAUACCACAUCUUGCCUAAAAAUUAUUAAGUCAUUACCCCUCAUCAAGUCACUUUGAUCUCACUCCUUAAAUUAUUUUCAUUUUUGACAUUUUACAUUUAUUUUAUACUUUUAAUGUCACAUUUAGAAUUUCUCAGCUAAUUGGUUAUCCAUGAUCGAAAAACUAUUUAGGGAAUACUUGCUUAUUUUUUAUUUCAUUUUUGUCGAACCUUUUAUUCCAUCUCAACACUCUUUGUUUUCUUAACUUCUUAGUAAAAAUUAUCACUUAUUCAUCUAAAGGUGUUUGUCAUUAGUGAUAAGAUAUUAUGAACCACCUAUAUUUAUAUAUCAGACUUAUCUUCUAGAAAAAAAUUGGAGCUUUACGACUUUGAAUAGCAAUGACGUAUAGAAGAUUCGUGAAAUGGGAUUUUCUACUUCAAUGUCUCAGUGAUAUUAUUUAGUGUAUGUAUAACUGCUUUUCGUCGACGUUCUUAUGUAAGAGCUUUUGGACACUUCUCGCCGAUGAAAGGAUUGCGAAAGGUUGAGAUAUUUAUUUUUGCAUGGGUUAGAGAACUUGCAAUCUAGGAGUGAUUUUGAGCGUUUUAUUUCUCCACUCAUAUAAAAUGAGAAAUAUGGAAUCUUUUGAUAUAAAGUUUGUGCGUUUUCUCUUGGGUUGAACUACUGAAUCAUCUAGUACUAUUAUAUAUUUUGAUGCUCUAUAAAGGCCUUAUGGAGAGUUGACAUGUGGCUCAUUUAAUGGUUGCCACCUCACUUUCGUUUUCUUUAAUUUUUCAUCAUUUUUUCUCUUCAUUUCCAAGAGAAGGUGGCCCGUAAAAGCUAGUAGACCAAACCUAGCUCCCUUCCAUGAGAUACGUGUACCUAGCCAUUGACUAAGCGUCUGGUAUAAUAGACUUUCUUUGUUUCUCUAAGACAGUAGUGAAAAUUUCUCCUUUUUUUAAUUUUUUUUUAUGUGUGACUGUUGUUUUGCAGCGAUCGAGCACUUGAAUCCAGAAAAAGUAGAAAGGAAAAGAAGUGAAGCAAGAGAGGGUUUGACACAUAUGCACUUUCUACCGAAUAUGAUGGAGGGCCAACUGAUAUGGGGGCUCUUUGUGUCUGAUUUUUUGCCAAUGUAUGUGCACCAUCAUCUAUUGAAUUUCAGAUAUUUGAUCAGAUUAGACAAAAAAAAAAUUCUAUCCAUAUUAGCAUUUAUUUGAUGCAUGCAUCUAUACGUAGGUCUUUGGCACUUUCUAAUUUUCCAACUGUUGUCAAAUUUAGAAAGAUCUAUAGGUACACAUUUUUCAAUAGUGUUACUUUUCUUGAAUAGUCUAUCCGUCUAAUGCAUUUUAUAUAGGCAAUUGUAAUUUGGAGAUUCUUUGUAGACAUAAUUGAUGUGCAUGCACAGAACGCCUACCCUGGUAGAUUUGUUGGCAUUAGGUGAGUUUGGUCAGCAACCAAAGGGGGAAGAAGAUAAGGAGAUUCAGCUAGCUGUCCUAAUGCUAAACCUUUUCAUGAAUAUAAAAGAGAUGCUCAUAUGAAUUUGUCAAGUGAUGGUUUAAUUUUUAAAUUCCCUUCCAAAGUAUUGGUUUUGCUGUAAUUAUAGAUUGGGGUUCCUAUGAAGAUGUCAUUCUUUUCCCCUUUAUUUCUUUGACAAGAAAUGCACUAAGUAUUUGUGCACAUAACUUCUUGUAAUUAAUAAAAGAUGUCUAGAUCCAAAAUGCAUCUAAGCUUCAUCUACAAGGAUCCGAAAGCAGUCCAUUUGUAGUUGGAGAUGACAUAGAUAUUACAUAUGCUAGCUCCUCCAUUCAAAUUGGUGCAGAUUUCUAACAUUAAACAACUUUUGAUUGUAUUGUUUGGUUAAUUAGGCACAAAAAUGUGUCUUGUAGAUCUUUUGUUGGUUGUCAUUGGUUGUAUAUCAUCAUAACGUCAUUUAGGCAAACUAUAGCCUCCAAAGCUCAUAAGUGAUGGGUAAUUGUAGAUAUCAUUAGCAUCUGUGAAGUUUUAGCAGUAGAUUUUCCAAUUAUCCAAUCCUAAAUUUUCUCAAUGUUUUUGUGGAAUUGCAUUGUGUCAGAUGUGGCUUGUCUAGUCCUCAAGAAUCACAACAAUCUUGUGACUUCAUCAUUGCAUCCACGAGGGAGUGGGGAGAGAGUCAAAUUUUGAGCAGAGAACGGAUGUUGAAAGUAGUAUGUAACUCGAACGGAUGUUGAACUUUUUUUGGCUUGCCUCAAAUAUAAAUCUUUUCAUUCUCUAUUAGCAACAACAUAGAGCGGAUGUUAGUACCAAGCUAUCCUCUAUCUUCGAAGACUGGUACCUUAUUAGUCUUGUAUACUACUUUGUCCGAAAGUGGAGAAAUAAAAAAUUGUUACUUCUUCAUCUAACAGCUUAACAAGCAUUGCAUCUUACAUGGUGAUGCUGUUCUAAUUAUGUAGGUAGUUAAGAGAUCUGUUAAGCUAAUAAAACUCAGAUGUGUAGAUUGAUUUAUUCCAUGUAAGAAUUGAAAAACAUUUGCUACUUUUGCAAGAUAGCAAGGUGUGCCUUGUGAGGCCCAUUUGCAUUUAAAUGGUGAUCGGACAUAUGGGAGGGCACAAUUGCUAAAUAAUAUGGGAGAAUGUAGAUAUUACGAGACCUUUAAUGCAAUAAAAGCAUCUGUGGCUUGACCUAUGCCGUAAUGUUCUGCCGAUGCCUAGCCCCAUAAGUGAACUUUCCCAAUCAUGCACUGUUGUUGAACAAGCUGAUCAACCUGUCUUCAUUGUCAUUGAGAAGGUGAUCCCUCCAUGAGAUAAGUGUACCUAAGCCACUUAGUGUCUAGAAUAAUAGACUUUCUUAUUAAAUACUUGGAUAAAGUUUUGAUUUACAAUAAUUGAUAUAAUUAUUAGCCAUGUACUUAAGAUCCAUUUUGUGGUUAUCUUCAACCAUUUUGUAUCAUGAAUGUGAAAAUUUUUAAUAGUAAAUACAUGAUGCGUUAUUUUCAAAUGAUUUAUGAUUUUUUUUUAAUUUUUAUGAAUUUUCUGGAUUUUUUAUGUUUUAAUGACUAUUUUAGUUUUUUUUUUAAUUUUUUAUAAUUUUGAAUGCAGACAAGGAUUUCGGGCUGGCUCUGGUCUAGCAGGUCUGGGCCAUAGACACAAAUGGGCUUAUUCAAAACAAGUCCAUUCGAUUAGAAAUCACCAAGCCCAUUUCAUUCAAAUUAAGAAGCACUAAAUCCACACGACCCAUUCACGCUUCCUUCCUCUUUUCUUAUCUAAUUUUCUCCUCUUUAUUAUUUAUUAUUUAUUAUUUAUUAUUUUUUUCUCUCCCUUUUUUUUUAAUUUUCCUUUUCUAUUUUCCAUUUCUCUUCCCUUCCACUGUUCAUCAUCUUCUUCCCGAGAACGACUUCUUCCCUGCGACCUCCUUUUCAACCUAACCCCCCCCAUUGUCCGAUGAGCCCUCGACGACGCUCAGGCCACCGCCGAGCCACCACCCGGCGUCGGUCGUUCAGUCUGACAACGCCAGUCACCGCCGGCCAUCACUUGGUCGCCGGUCGUCACUCUCGCGGGCCAUAACCGAACCUCAACGGCGACUUUAAUGUCACCGAAACACGUAAUACAAAACGGCAUCCAUUCUAAGAGAAACAGGCACACAUAUGGAGUGGAUGGGAAACUAACUACGGCGGCCUCUAACCGUGGGCUUCUCCGGCUAAAGGAAUGGCAUCUCCGGCGAAGCGCUCACGGCCAGACUCGGACGAUGAGAAAUAUGCCACCAAAGACUCAAAGAAAACGCCGAUUCGGUCUCGUUUUAAUGAUUUCAUAACGAAUAGAGCACAAAAAUUAACAUUUCGAGCAUCUCGCUAAAAUUGAAUUCGAUUUUUCAUCGAGACAUUCCGUCGAACAGUUGAUGUGCAGUUCGGAAUACUGCCUUUAGGUUCGAGAGCUUGCUGCGACGAACGACGGCGACGAACGGCGACGCCGGAAGGUCACGAGGGUGAUGAGGCGGACCACCGACAAGCCGAAAGAAUUCUCUCCUCUCGGUUUCAGAUUUCUCUUCGAAACACCUCCGGCUCCACCCCUCCGAACCGAUCCCCUCUCUCUCUCUCUUCUUCUUCCUCUUUCGUUUCUGCUCCAUCCUUAGCUUUUCAGUUUUCAAGAAGAACAAAUUGAACUCCUAACGGGAAAGCCCAUGGCCCAUACGGCAUUCGUCUCCAUCUUCUUCGCUAGGCGAUCCUCGCUCCGGUUCGAAUCGCCGCGACUCUCUGGUGUUCGAGCGCCGUCUCCCGGCGGUAAAUCUCGACCUCGCCCGAUCAUCGCCGGCGGCAUUGAUCGUCUUUUCUCCGCAGCAAUGGUGCAGAAGCAGCACCACAAGUCCAACGCCAAGAAACAGCCUCACGUAACUGAUUUCCUUCGCUACUUAUGGUUGCAAUUUCCAUCUACUUAGGCACUCGUGACAAUUGCUUGCUCUUCGAUGAGGCGGCGUAUCUUGUCUCCGAAGAAAUUCGAAAGUUUCAAUUGCUGUGAUAAUCUGUUUGUUGCGGCGAGGCCUCUGAAAUUGAGCUUUCGUGGAGGUGUUUUCGGCUAAGUUCUUGGCUGGAGUAUUCAUCGGUGGUUGUUUCUAGAAUCUGAGUGGACGUGAAUGUGGUACGCGUUGAUGAACAGGUCAAAAAGCAGGGGAAGCAGGCGGAUAACACACAGUUCCGAGCUCAGCUUGAUGCGCUGGGCCUGAAAAUUGUCCAGGUGACUGCAGAUGGUAAUUGCUUUUUCAGGUCUGUGUUCCUUGUUAGAAAAAGAUCACCGUAUUGUUCAUGAUUUUUUAUUGAAUUUUUCCAGGAAUUGGUUUGUUUUGUAAGAUAACAGUAUUCCUCUCUGUUAUGGAAGAUUAUUGGUAUGCUCAUUGCAUUACCACUCUAUCGUCAGAACACAACACAAAGUGCGUUUUAUGGUACACUGGUUCUGGAACUCUAUCAUCGAUGUACUGGAAAUUCCUCAGUUGGAAAAAGUAUUGCAUUUCGUAUAAUGUAUCAUUCUGCUUGAGACACUGCAUGUGGAAAUAUAUCUUGAAGAAUAGCUCUAUUUGUCAGGGAAUGUAGCUCUUUUAACUUAGUCUCGAGGAUAUUAGAUUGACUCUUCCGUUAUCCAACUAAGUAACUUUGUAAAUUUAUGUCACUAUUGUAUUGCUAUUGUACAAUGCCUAGAGAAACUAACCAUGUGCCUCAUUCCUGUUUCAUUCCACAUAUUUGAAUUAUCCAUCAUCCAGGUAAUCUUACAGCCUUGUAUGGAGCUUUUGUUUAUAGAAACGCCUUUGCUAUGGUUGGAAUUUUCAUAGUUGUCCACUCUUGUUAAUCAGGGCCCUUGCAGAUCAGUUGGAAGGCAAUGAAGAAGAACAUGGGAAGUACCGUAGUAUGGUUGUUCAGUACAUAUUGGUAUGUGGAGUGCAGAUUUCUCUUUUUCAAACUGUAGGAAUUAUGUUUGGGGAGGGGGGGGGGGGGUUACAUGGUGAUGUAGUCCUCAUUUGUACUAGUCCUCAGUGAUCCGAAUCUAAACUUUAUUUGGUGCAUUUUGUUCUUGAACUUUUCUGUAAGUAUUGAUGGAUCUCACACUUAUAUAGAUACUGAAAUAGCAUGCCUUUGGAAGAAAAAACCAAGUUAAAAUGGGUAUUAUACAUUGAAGCAUACAUUUCUGCUGCCAAUGGUUAUUCCUGGUGAUAUUCAGCUCACAGUCACAGUUGCAUAGAGCUAUAACAACACAAGGAUCACCUGAGCAAUUUGACAUUCUUAUUUUACUAGAGAGGAAAACCUUUUGAGUGUUAACCGUAAUUUGGAUGGUGUAUCUUGGCCUAAACUGACAGGUGCAGGAGGAAGCUGGACUUUUUAGUUACCCGCAUUGUUCUAGCCUACAGGAAUGUGCGGUUGCUACUUUAGGGUGCCAUUAUUAUGCAAACCGACAUAUUUUGGAGGAGAUAUUGAGAAAAUAAAAAUUUAGACAAUUGAUACUAACGUAAAAAAAGUCAACUUUUUACCAUGCAUGAUAAAACUUUAAUGUUUUGCAAUGGCACAAAUCGAUAGUUUCAUAAAAGUCAAAUUACAAGAGCUGCAAGAUCUUUUUUUUUACUAGCCUGAUUUCAAGUUUCAACAGAAUCCUUUAUUUGCAUUGGUUUUUUCUCAUAGUGAUGUGUUUAAGGAAAUAAAAUCCUCGUCUGAAGAAUGGACCUGAUUUAUGCAUCUAAGAUGGGAAUUGUUAAUGACAGAAAAAUCGUGAAAUGUUUGAACCAUUUAUUGAGGAUGAUGCGCCAUUUGAGGAGUAUUGCAAAACCAUGGACAAUGAUGGCACAUGGGCUGGUCAUAUGGAAUUGCAAGCAGCUUCUCUUGUUACACGGAGUAACAUUUGCAUUCAUCGGGUAAGACUGACAACGAAGUCAUCAACCAUCACCUACGUGAAGUUUUGUUGGUUACUGUCUUUUCAUUCCUUCNNNNNNNNNNNNNNNNNNNNNNNNNNNNNNNNNNNNNNNNNNNNNNNNNNNNNNNNNNNNNNNNNNNNNNNNNNNNNNNNNNNNNNNNNNNNNNNNNNNNNNNNNNNNNNNNNNNNNNNNNNNNNNNNNNNNNNNNNNNNNNNNNNNNNNNNNNNNNNNNNNNNNNNNNNNNNNNNNNNNNNNNNNNNNNNNNNNNNNNNNNNNNNNNNNNNNNNNNNNNNNNNNNNNNNNNNNNNNNNNNNNNNNNNNNNNNNNNNNNNNNNNNNNNNNNNNNNNNNNNNNNNNNNNNNNNNNNNNNNNNNNNNNNNNNNNGAAAAAUUGACUCAUCUGAAGCGCAAUGAUAUCCGGCAUGUCUCGUGAUGUCUAUUGUGGCGAAAGCAUGUGGAAGGACCAUUGAUAGUGAUGUGCAAAAGAUUUUUUCAGAGAUAUAUUGCACCUUUUAGCACAAGGAGUUCCGAUGGGUGCAUAUAAUCCUAAUUCAAAGAAGACUUAAUAUAUCGAACUUGUUACAAAAUUGCUGGCUUUUUGAGUGUUCUAUAUGUCCUUGAUGAAUCUACACAGCACUAAUUAGUUUUGAUACAUGCUGUGCAUGCAAAUAUCUGUUCAUUGACGCCAAAUGGAACAAUUUGUCUCACUCCUUACUUGAUGCAGAACAUGUCACCUCGGUGGUACAUACGCAAUUUUGAUCAGCCUGGUGCUCGUAUGAUCCAUUUGUGAGUUUUCUGAAUAUAGAGACUGAUGCUUUUUUUGCUAAGCAAGUGCUCAAAUACUGGGAUGAGAUUUGGCUCUGUUUGUAUACACUUAAAUAAAUGACCUUUUCUUACGUUUUACUUUCCCUCAAAAGAUUUGAAAAUAAAACAAUGUUUUUAUUUUUUAAGUGAUUAUGAAAAGAUUAUAUAUUUCUCCUGGUCAAGUUUGUUUAUUUUUAAAAGGUUUUAGGUGUUUUGAGUUUCAUAAAAGUCAAAUUGCAAGAGCUGCAAGAUCUUUUUUUUUUAAAUGAAAGCUAUAAGUGCAAGUCGUCCAAACAAACCAGCUCAUUACACAAAAGAAGGUACUGCAGCUUGUUCAGGGAGACUGCUGAUUUGUGAAAUUAUUUUGGCAUGCAAGGACAACAUCUCAUAAGUUGCAGAUCCGAGUGUAGUUGCGGCGUUGUUAGAUAUAACCAUGGAAGUUCUUUUGCUAGUUUGAGGGACGUUUUGGUGUGGUCGGAGAGGGAUAAAUUACUGGCUAAGCAUAUGUGGUAGGAGACCGAAAUGUCACAUUAGCUUUUGUGUAUUCGAUAAAUUAUAGUAUUGAAUUUCCCAUUCAUAAUCGAGCAAUGAAUGGCAUCCGUGGUAGGAGACCGAAAUGUCACUUUAGCUUUUGUUUCUUCGAUAAAUUAUUUUAUUGAAAUUCCCAUUUAUAAUCCUUCAAUGAAUGGCAUCCCUUAAUAUUCUAAGUUAAGAUGGAUUGGAUCUGUCUAGUAGUAGCCAUCAUGACCUUGGAUUGUCACGAGGAUCAUGAAAUUUGGUGGAUAUAUGAUAUUCCAUACUUUACUAUCUUUGAUAGGUGUCAUCAUGUGAAACCAGUAAGCAUAAAAAAUGUGUAGAUAGGGAAAAUCUUAUCAUGAUGAGGAACAUUACAACAGUGUGAGGUUGAAGGAAGACACUGGAGAUGGGCCAGCUAGGCCAAUUACAAUCAAGGUUGCUACUGGAAUUUAAUUCUAAUUUACUAAGUUAGUAGGGAAGUUGGACAAAUUGUGAAUAUAAGUAUGUGAUUUGAUAAUUUCUUUUGCUGAAAGGCCGAUUCUAAUCUCUCAUCAUCGUCUCGCCAAGCAAAAGCUGGGUCAAAGAAGUCUAAAGCAGGAGCUGGUAAGGAUAUUACUGAUGCUGGAUCCAUCAAGCUAGUCAUGGCUGGAAGUGGUUGUGAGAACAUUGAGAAAGUUGAGCAGGUUAUGUCCUCGCUUCUUCUGCUCACUUGUUUGCAUUAAAUGCUUUCCUCUCAUUUGCUGGGUGUCUAGAAUUAGAAUACAAGACCUUUCUCUGGCUUCUGUGUGACAUGCGAUACUCUUACAGACAUUGCUGCAAAUGUAUGGGGAUGUUGAUGCUGCCAUAGAGUAUUUGAUAGCAGAAAAAGGUAUUGCAGAUUUUUCAGAGGAGGCUGUCCGGUCUCCCUGCAAUGCAGAUGCUUCUUAUGGUAAUGGCUGGUCAGUAUUUAUCUCUCUAGAUUUUCUUUAAUAAUUUAACUUUGCAGUUUCAGAGAUACCAUGUUGAGCUUCACAAGAAGCUUGUUUGGAGUCAUUUUGAUGCAACUGGUAGAAUUACCGUGCUUUGUCUUGUCAACCAUAGAUUUUUGGGGUAGUCAAAACAUGUUACACCCAAAACUAUUUCAUAAUUCUUUGUGGUUUUAGGUGAUGAUGCCAGUGGAAAUUCUGAGGAACAGAGAGAGGAACCUGUGGAAGAGGCCAAUAAAGAAAAUCCACCUAGCAAUAGCACUAAACGGACUCAUGAUGAUGGCAGUGCCCAGCGAGAAGACAAGGUUUCCACAAAAGAUGACUAUGUUACCUCUUUUACCAUUUUGGUUUUAGCUCAAACGUGAGACUGUUGGUGAUGCGCUCCUUUCAUUUUUAUUUGCUNNNNNNNNNNNNNNNNNNNNNNNNNNNNNNNNNNNNNNNNNNNNNNNNNNNNNNNNNNNNNNNNNNNNNNNNNNNNNNNNNNNNNNNNNNNNNNNNNNNNNNNNNNNNNNNNNNNNNNNNNNNNNNNNNNNNNNNNNNNNNNNNNNNNNNNNNNNNNNNNNNNNNNNNUUUUGUUGAAGUACCUUUCCUGUUUCCGUGUGAUUCGAGUUCAUAGGCAUCUGAAAUUAUGGCUUAUGUAUCCCAAAAUUGUAUCGUAAUUAACUUCAAGUCUGGACUAUUUUCUCACUCCUAUGCUUUGUCGAAUAAUGGGUUCACUUUGGAAAAAUGUUCAUACAUGAGUAAUAUAAAUUUGUACUUACAAGAACAAAGACAACACUGAAGAUUUCUCCUUUUUUAUGUCUAAACGUUGUUUUGCAGUAAUCAAGCUCUUGAAUCCAGAAAAGGUAGAAAGGAAAAGAAGCGAGGCAAGAGAGGGUUUGACACAUCUGCACUUUCUAGUGGAUCUGAUGGAGGGCCACCUGAUAUGGGGGCUCUUUGUAUCUGAUCUUUUGUUAAAGUAUGUGCACCAUCAUCUAUUGAAUUUCAGAUAUCAGUACGCUGUCUUUCAAAUAUUUGAUUAUGACACAAAUUUUUUUCUACUUCAAUUAGCAUGAAUUUGAUCCAUGCAUCUCUUUUUUUAUCUUUGGGAUAAGUGCGCUUUCUAGUUUUCCACCUGUUGCCAACUUUAGAAAAAUCUAUAGGUACAAAAUUUUCAAUGGUGUUAUAUUUCUUGGAUAGUCUGCCCGUUUGAUGCAUUUUAUACUGGCAAUUGUAAUUUGGAGAUUCUUUGUACACAUAACUGUUGUGCAUGCAUAUAACACCUACCCUGGUAGAUUUGUUGGCAUUGGCAUAGGUGAGUUUGGUGAGAAGUCAGAGGGGGAAGGAGAUAAGGAAAUUCAGUUAUUGCUGUCCCUGGGCUAAACCUUUUCAUGAAUAUAUAAGAGACAUCACAUAAAUUUGACAAGUGAUGGUUUAAUUUCUAAAUUCCCUUCCAAAGUGAUGGUUUUGUUGUAACCGUAGUUUGGGGUUCCCAUGAAGAUGUCAUUCCUUUUCCUUUUAUUUCUUUGACAAAAAAGGCACUAAGCAUUUAUGCACACUUCUUGUAAUUGAUAAAAGACGGGUAAGAUCCAAAAUGCACUUAAGCUCCAUCUAUAAGGACCCAAAUGCUAUCCAUCUGCAGUUGGAGAUGACACAGAUAGUACAUAUGCUAGUUCUUCCAUUCAAAUUGGUGCAGAUUUCUAAAAUUAAACAACUUUGACUGACAAUUAUCUUUGGUUAUUUUGCAAAAAAAGUAGUAUAGAUCUUUUUUUGGUUUUCAUUGGUUGAUAUAUCAUCAUAACAUCAUUUAGACGAAUUAAGUCUCCGAACCUCCUAAGUGAUGGAUAGUGUGUAAAGACCAUGAGCACCUGCAAAGUUUUAGUGUUAGAUUUUCCAAUAAUCCCACAAUAAUCCUGAAUUUUUUCUUAUUGCUUUUGUGGAAUUGCAUUGUGUCAGAUGGGGCUUGUCGAGUUCUCAAGAAUCACAACAAUCUUGUGGCUUCGUCAUUGCAUCCAUGAGGGAGUGGGGAGAGAGUUGAAUUGGGAGCAGGAAACUGAUGCUGAAAGAAGUCUAUAACUUGAGCUUCUUCCCGAAGCGACUUAUGAGGUUACUCAUUAUUUUUUCUUGGCUUGCCUCAAAUAUAAAUCUUUUCAUUCUCUAUUAGCUGCAACAUAGAGCGCAUGUUAGUCUGAGGUUAUCUUCUGUCUUCAAAGGCUGGUACCUUAUUAGUCUUGUAUACUACCUUAUCCCAAAAUGGGGAAAUAAAAGAUCCUUACUUCAUCUAACAGCUUAAUUGAACCUUGCAUGGUGAUGCUGCUCUAUUAACACAGGGAGUUAAAAGAAUUUUUAAGCUUAUAAAACUCUCUGUAGAUUCAUUAAUUCCAUGUAAGAAGUCAAAGACACAUGAUACUUUGCAAGAUUGAAAGGUGUGCCUUGUGAGGCCCAUUUUCAUUCAAAUGGUGAUCCAACAUGUGGGAGGGCAUAAUUGCCCACUGAUAUGGGAAAUGUAGACAUCCCGAGAACUUUAAUGCGAUAAAAGCGUCUUCGCCUUGGCCUAUGCCGCGAUGUUCCGUGGAUGUCUAGGCCGGUUUGUGGACUUUUCCCAUCGUGCGCCAUUGUUGAACGAGAUUGGUCAACCUGCUUCUUCACUGUCCUCGAAAAGGUGGUAUGUAAAAGCCAGGAGACCACACCUAGGUCCCUUCCAUGAGAUAAGUGUACCUAGCUAUUAAUUAAGUGUCUAGUAUAAUAGACUUUCUUAUUAAAUACUUAGAUAAGGUUUUGAUUUAAAAUAAUCGAUAUAGUUGUUAGCCAUGUGUUUAAGGUCUAUCUUAUGGUUAUGUUCAACCAUUUUGUAUUAUGAAUUGAGAAUUUUAAUAGGAAAUACAUGAUGCGUUGUUUUCAAAUCUUUGAUCCAUUGAUUUUGUAGAAUGGCUCCGCCGGGGUAAUUCUAAUCAGGGUAUAGAAGGGCCAGUACUAGAUUAAGGAUAGUUUACUUGGAAAACACAUACAUACAUACAUACAUACAUACAAUCAAGUUUAGAAUCACCACAAAAAAGAGGUGUGUGAGUACAAGGGACAAGGUCAUGAUGUUAUACGAUGCGGUAGGGACGUGUGGUGUGGCAAGCAAAUCAAUAUCAAAAUUUAAGCAUCAAGUAAGAGGACCGGCAUUUUAUACGAUUGAUUUAAUUGGAUGGUCACAUCACGUUAGCCAUUAACGAUUUGACUGCUGAAUAAAAUAAUUUUCUCAAACAAGGAGGUGGCCCCUCGAAAAGUUUUCAAAUGCUAGAAUUCCCAAGCUUGCAAGGACUUUAGGAAACCUUCUCCCUUUGAAGAAAUGCUAUUUACCAUCACCUAAAGUUGCAAGGACUCUCUAGCAAGUACCACUGUUGAUAUGCACUUUGUAGUUACUAAAACCAUAUCGUCGCUUAUGGGUUUGAUGAAGGAAUUUACCAUGCUAUUGGAUAAGUCAUAAGUGAUAGGAUCAUCAAGAGAUAAACUCUACAAUCAAAUUGCUAACCUCAAAAGAAAGAUACUAACUAGAGAUGUAGUGAUGAUAACAAGGACUACAUGGGACUUAUCACUGUCAGAAAAAUACUUACGAUGUACAAAUAUCAUCAUUUACAAAUAAAGAGGAGAAACACUGUAUCAAUGGAGAACUGAAUAAUGACGAUGCUCGCAAAUUAGCAAUAACGAAAGGGAUGUUCGUGAUGCAAAGUUAUAUUGCAAAGUUAAUAACCAUAUUUUGAGGAUUUUGGGUGAUUUACACUUGUUCUAGAAUAUUUACUGAGAAAUUUUGUUAUUUAUUACGACCAUUUGAUGAAAUUUACUUUAUUAAUUUAAGUUUACUAACGACUAACAUUAACAUAAGGACAUAACAAAGAUUAUUUUUUGGCAAUGAGAAGUUUUACAUACUGCUAUAACAGGGAUAUGUAUAGAAACACAUUAGUUUCGCAAACCUUUUUGCUUCAUCUAUAAACUGCAUACAAAAAAAAUUGAAAUUACCCAAGUAAAGGGAAACCAUGCUUGGGGAGAUGAAAUAUGAAUACAAUUUGUUUAAAAUAAGUACUUCAAAAAUCGUAAAAUUUGUUGCGAAAGUAUAAUCAAGUCAAGACUUUCAAAAAGUGAAAUGAAGUCUUAAAAUCUAUCCAAUCAAUAUAAUUAAGUGUUUUUGUUAGCUCCACCAAAUCUGAGUAACGGAAAAUAUUGACAUGUCAUUUAUUGAUAUGAUUUGACUACACGUGCUAAAGAUAUUUGAGCCAAACAUGAAGCCACGUUCUACUGAAUUGAAGUAUCUUGUGCGCCAAGUCACCCUCUCUCCAUUUUCCAAAUCUGACAUUAGAGAUUGAAGUGAAUGCCAUCUCUUACUUCAACAACGAACAUAAAUGUCCCGAGGUAUCAAGAAACAUAUGCCAAUCCCCAGUUUGUUGCUGGCUUAAUGAUUGCUUCUUUCAAAGCUGCACGCCAGCACUAUUACAUGUACCCUCGCAUGCCAAGCAGAUGUACAAACCGUAAAUGUUCCAUUCGCGAGGCUUCCCUUCGCAUGGCUUCCAGUCGCAAGGCUUCCAUUUGGCGUGGGAGAAAUUUGUAGAAGAAUUCUUUGAACUUCAUUUCAUAGAUUGUACAAACCGUAAAUGUUCCAUUUACUCGAAGGCCCUUCGGAUGGUUUCCAUUCGCUAGGCUUCCCUUUGGCGUGGGAGAAAUUUGUCGAAGAAUUCUCCGAACUCCAUUUCAUAGAUUGAAGCUGGAUUCACUAAUUGCUUGUCUUUGAGCACAACUUUCAAAUCAUCAUUCAUUUGCUCACAUCUUAGCACAUAUCCCAAUUUUUUUACGGUUCCACCCGAUACAUUGAGUGUGAGGCUAAAUCGUAAGCAAUCCUCGUCAAAUUCAAGAAAAUCAACAGCUCCUUCCAACACUCCCCACAACACAUUCGAUUCGAGAUAUUGAAUCCACAUGUGAUUCGAAUUAAAUGAACCGAGAGAUCCCGAUAGCCCAUUCCGUCUUUGGCCGUUAAGAUGGGGCACAAUGUCGAAAAAUAUUUCCUUUUCUCCAUAUUCUACAGUGAAAACAACACAUAGAGCUAAUCCCAAGAACUUAUCGUAAAAGUCUUGUGAAACCAUGAAAGAUAUGAUACUGCCUUCAACAAUGAUGAACUCCUUUGGCAUAUCUCCUCCGGGAAGAAUAUCCAUGUAGUAAGAAGAAAUUUCAGAAUAGCGAUACUUUUGUUAUACCGGUAAAUUGUUAGACGUACUAAAGUUGCUAAUUAGUCAAAAUAGAAGAGUUUGAUUUGAGAAUUUUUCUGGUAAUUUAACCAAAGCCAGAGUUUUUGUAAUAAUUAAACAUAUCAAUCUUUCCUUGCCUUAUAUGUAAUACUCAUGAAAUCAUUCACUUCACUUGCGAGUAUUGUCGUAGCACAUGGUGCAGAAUCACUCUACGUUAGAUUUGCUUAUUUGUAUAGAGUUUUCGGUUUUUGCGUUAUACAAACACAAUGCGCCUAACGUACACUCCGACAACAAAUCAACACAUGCACUUAUGAAUCCGCGCGUAUCCCUGGCAACACAUGCACUUAUGAAGAGAGAGAGAGAGAGAGAGAGAGAGAGACCUCAACUGAAAAGUCAGCCAUGACAACGGUGGGCGGAGAGUCAUCCAUAUCGUCGCCUUCUUCUGAGCUUGUUUGGUAGUCGUCUUCAUGGUUUAUCCCCCGCUAUUACAUAUAGGUGCAAAAUCACAAUAUAUUAGCUUGUUUUGUUCACUAGCAUUUGUAGUUUUGCAUUAUAAAAACACAAAGCACCCAUAUCAAUCACACACACACCGCAAUCGCGGAGGUGGGGAAGGGAGGGAGGGAGAGACCUUUUCCAUAUAUAAGAGAUUGGCCGAAAUUUCUUCCGCUCUAGUCGUUUCUUCGUCGUGAUGCCAAAUCCCAUAAAACAAACUUGGAUCUAACAACUCAUCAUCUUGAUUCAAAGCCUCCAACUCGUCCUCUAGUGACUUGCAUAUUACUCGAAAUCCGCACUUUUUUACAAUUACAUCAUUCGAUGCUUUAAUGCCUAAUUGGAAAGAACUUGAGUCAUUUCGAUCGAAAGGGUCUUUUCCCCAUAGGUUCCUCAUUACAUGAAACUGUAAUAACACAUGUUCCGAAUGCAAUGUGGGCAACCCCUCUAACGAGUAACCAUAUUGGAAGCUGGAAUUACGGUAUAAACUGCCAUUAGUGUAUGAAAUGAGAUUCAAUUUUUUUCGUUUCCCUUCCUUUUCUCGAAAUACAAAACCGAUAGCUAAUAUUAGGAACUUCUCAUACAAAUCCUUCGAAGCUAUGAAAGAUAUAUAACCCUCCUUAUUCGGGAGUAACCAUUGCGGCAUCUCUCCUCCAGGUAGAAUAGUUUCGCACUUCUCUUCCCCACACAAUGCUUUCCAAUACAAAUCCUGAUAUCGCUGUUGUAAAAGUAAAUUGUUAAGAUAUUAUUUCGAAUUUGACACUCGAAAAAGAGGAGUUUCAAUGAGUCGAAUUUAGCUACAAUUAGCAAUAUAUGUACACGACUCCGUAUUAAUCAGAGAGGGAGGGAGAGUCUAACCUCACUACGGACCCAUUCACGAAAUAAUCGGUUAAUGGACAAUAUGUCGGAGGGAAUUUUGCUUAGAGAUUCACAGUUCCUUGCCUGCAAUUCAAUCAAUAGCCCUGAAACCUCGCCAAUCUCUUGUAGCUGUCGGCAAUCCGAAACUUCCAAUGUAAAUAAAUUAUGUAGGUGCCCGCAUGUUGGAAGCUUAGCAAAAUUAUUUUCGGACAAAUCCAAUUCCAUUAAGAAUGGAAAACAUGAAUGAUUUUCUAGGAACUCUACUUCUUGUAGAUUGCAUCCGUUAAGCCAUAAGGACCGUAGCUUGGGAAAUCCUGUCUUGCUAUGCAGAUCAGUCGAAUCCUCCUCCUUCUUUGGAAACUUGAUUAGUUUUGAACAACCAUCAAGCGUCAAGCUCUCAAGAUUUGCCAACUUGUAAAUGCUAGAUGGGAGGUUUGCCAAUUUCUUGCAUUUAGAUAAACUCAAAUCUUCCAAAGAGACAAGAUUUUCUAUGGAUGCAGGAAGUUCCUCAAUUGAAGUCUCAUCUAAAAAAAGUUGUUGCAAGCAUUUCAUUUUAUCCAGAAUAUCAGGGAAUCUUUGCAACUUUGAGCAACCACUAAGAUUGAGAUGUUGAAGAUUCUUGGGUUGGAGUAUAUCAGGGAGAUGAUGAAGGUUAGAGCAACCCUUUAGAUUCAACAACCUCAACUUGGCGUGAUAUGCAAUUGAUUCGUGAGCAUGCUCCAAAUUUUUGCACCCAUUGAGAUCCAAUUCCUCGAGAUUUGGACAAAAAUCGAGGUUUGGCAUACAAACCAUGGAUAGACAUUCACUGAAGUAAAGGAACUUCAAAUUUUUAAAGUCCUGCAAGAAAUAUCCACAUGGAAAGAAAAUGAAGAUAAAAAUAUUUAAUGAAAAACACUUGAUCAUCAUUCAAGAUCUAUGUGAUCAGAUUAGUUGAUCAUAUGGUGUAUACAGAGCACUCCCACUCCCUUAUUAAAAAUGAGUUUAUUAAGCGAUCCUUGGCCAAAAGAGAAGAGUAAAAAAAGAAUAAUACUCAUAAUUUCACCACACACUAAGCUCUAUCAAGCGACACACAAGAGAAAUCAUUCUAGUCUUAAGUAGCGUGGCCACUUCUACUAUGUACAUGUUUAGAAUCAAUUCAUGUUAUUCUGAGAGAGAGCGUGACCUCAAGUGGGAGCACAUGAGCCAUGGUCAAAUCCUUUGCCAGCUAAUUCAUGACAUGAAUUUAAGCUAACAUAGGUGGCACUUGAUGGACCUACAAUCUUAUGCAGAGAUAUGCAAACCUGCCAUAAUGGCAGUGGAAGCUUGGGAAUCUCUCGUGUCAUCACUUAUUAGGUCACAGUGCUUGGUUGAUCGAUUUUUGAGAAUCACACAUUUUGUUGAAUGUAGUAGACCCUUGAUCCGUUAUAUGUUGCUGAACUUCAUAUUAGUGAAAUUGUGCGCCCACAUGGUAUUCCAAAGACAACUCCAUACGUUGUGUAGUGAAUGCAUCUUUUAAGUCCUUUGGAUCUUACACCAUUAUCCACCACUAAUAUGGAAAAAGAGCCAAGACCAUCAAUAAGUUACAUGAGGAAGUGAGGAAGAGAAGUCCGAUGCAAAAUGUCAAAUAUCCCAGUCAAGCCAAAAAUAAAAAAAUAGAAAAGCCCGCUGUUUUUAAAGAAGGUGAUCUAGUUUGGAUUCAUUUGAGAAGAGCACUUUCCACCUAGUCGUGGUGCUACGGACGGUUCUUUUCUAGUUUUGGAACACAUCGAUAUUAAUACGUGCAAAAGUGAGCUUUGUGGAGGGAAUGGUGUUUCCACUAGUUUCAAUGUUGCUCAUCUAUCACUAUGAAGUUGGCCUCGAGGAGGAGUCUUUUCAAGAUUUCAAGAUUCUCUCCUGUGAAUAGAAUAAUAGGGAUAAAAUAUAUUUCUUGAUCAGUGAGCCUGUUUUAUACUUUUUAGGAUUGUUUUAGUCUCGAUUAUAAUGUGAUAAUAUUGUAGUUUGUUUGAAUUUUGUAUUUCAGGUUCAUUUUUCUUUACUUGGAGGUUACUCAAAGGUACGGUAGGCUUCUACUUAUAAGUGCCCUCUCGGUGUCUCAUGGUAAACACAAUUAAUCUAUUAAAUGAAGUUUCAUUCUAUCUUUUCUCUGUCUUUCUCUCUGCCCUUUUAGGGGAUUCAUGAGUGAACGAGAGAGUGCUGCAUCCUUGGACUGGCCUACAAAGGUGGUGAUUUGGCCAAGGGAGACCUAGUGUAUGUUGUCUCUUCCCUAUCCUCCAUAGUGGGGUUUUUCCGCUUGAUUUAGAUUGAAAAACCCCUUCUAUUUAUUUGUUCGCUCAACACAUUCCGGCGUCA